CUGUAAAGUUUUGCUAAGAGAAAUGAGGUAAUUAUUCAAAUCAACCUCUCCUUAUAUGUGUGUGUUUCCUGAAAUGUGUGGUACUUGGUAGGGUCAACCAUACAGCAGCUUACAGGGCCAGAUUUUGCUGGUGCCCCAUGUCUGAAUCCUGAUUCAAAGCAGAGCCAUGGGUAAGGCUUGAACCAUGUCAAGGAGUUUUCCUGACAUAUUUUACCCAAGUUCAGUUGGAUUAUGUAAUUCAUUCUCUCUCCUUUGCCACUAGCUUGCGGUCUGUAAGGAUCAUGAAGAUCCCAAGCUAUUCCCAAGUCUUUCCUAACCUCUUGUACCCCUUCUGCAAGAAAGUGGGAACCUCUAUCUGAUGACAUUCCCAAAGGUACCCCAAAUCUAGGUAUUAUUUGAUUCAACAGUAUUUCAGCCACUUCCCUAGACUGGUUGAUAUGACAAGGGAAGUCUUCUGGCCACCCAGAAAAGGUAUCCACCAGAACUAGGAGGGAUUGAUACCCCCAUUUUCUGGGAAAUUCAGUGAAAUCCAUCAGGCACUAUUCCCUUGGAACACCUCCAGAUUUUAUGGCUCUUAGCACUACAUUAUGAGCUGUGCUACAGUUGUCUCUUUUACAAACUAUACAUUUUAGAGUCUUGGUUGUACAAUCUGAGCCAUUUCAGACCCAGCUAAAGUUUUUUGCAAAUGUUUCCAAAGUUUUUCAGUACUCCAACGAGUGGCUUUGUGUUUGCAAUCCAUUUUUUCACACAAGAGUGAUUCUGGGACUACUCUUUGCCCAGCUGGGAUAAGUGCCUAGCCUUGUGGAUCAAAUCACCCUUCUACAGUUUCAAUUAAUUGACAGUCCCUAGCAUUAUACUCUGGUUUUUCUACUGGGAGAGGUAUCUCUGGCAAGGGUAUUAAAGAUAAAGCUUUGUUUUCUAACAUGUCUUUUUCUGCAGCCUCGUUGGCUAAAUGUUUCCCCAAUUCCAGUUUGGUCUUAUCCACUUGGUGUGCUCUGCAAUGCCUGAUGGCAAUUUCCUCUGGUUUCUGGAUACUUUCAAGUGUACCUGAGAUUUGUUUUCCAUUUUUGAUUGAUGUGCCUUGAGAGGUCAAAAGGUCCCUUUCUUUCCAGAAAUCCCAUGUGCCCGUAGCACUCCAAAGGUGUAUAAUGAAUCAGUUCAAAUGUUAACUCAUUUUGCUCUACUCAGUUCCAAAGCUCGGGUGACUGAAAUUAGUUCUACUUUCUGGGCUGGAACAUCAGAGGGGAGUGCCCCCGAUUGGAUUACCUCGGGCUGUGGAGUCAUUGUGUAUCCAGAUGUUUGGAUAGGAAGAUUGAGGGCAUGGUCCUGUGAGAGAGCAGCUGCUCCUGCUGCCCGCUCUGCCUUUGGCAUCUGAUAUGCUGCAGGUGUGGCAGCUGCAGCAGGAUUUCCUGUGGGAAGAGGCAGCACUGCUGCCAUGGCCCUCAGACUGCAGGGGCCCUUGGCUGUGCCCCCAGCACAGGAGUGUCACCCACGGGGGGGCACAAGGGGAAGGGGAAAGGGCAUUAGGAGGGAGAGAAACCAGUGUCUAGGGAGUGUGUGAGGGAAAUAACAAUUGAUUUCCUUUUCCUUGAGUAAAGAGUUGCAAGAGCCCUGCUAGAGCUGCUGGUGGCUUGGCCUCUUGCAGGGCUGGGGAGAGCCCUGGGGCCAGGGCCCCUCCUCUUUUUGGGACACCAGGUCUAGCUGGGCAAGUGGCCCCUGUUCCAGCCAGGAGCAGAGGUGCUGUGCCUUCUGCCCUGGGCACAGGGACCUGCCACUGUCACCAGCUCUUUCCACAGCUCGUCCUGAUGCUGGGCCUGCCCUGCAGGGAUGGGCACAGGAGGGGAGUGGCUGUGAAACCCAGGGCGGGGCUUUCACAUUGACUGCUCUCAGUGAGUGUCUGGAAAUGACAGUUUUCCAUCUUCUGCCAACCAAGGCUGCCAGUGUUUCUGUGUUUGUAUUGAUGAGAAGGGUAGAGUGUGGGUUUGUGGUUUCAUGGAGAGCAAAGCAGUGUCUGAAUUCAAUUCAUUUCAAUUUUUUCUUUCAUAGUAUUUUGUCUGUGAAAAGUCUGAAAAUCAAGGACAUCUUUCUGGAAUCUGCUGUCUGUGACCUCAAUACUGGCCGAGUGACCCUUCAGAACCUUGACCUAACUAAGCAAGUGCAUGAACUCUUUUAGGUCUUUUUAGAGGGAGAAAAUAAACCAAACCCAAACCUGUUUGUUGAAUCUUUGGAAAAUCUGACUUAUCCAAGACAGUAUCAUUUGGAAUGUACAGAUCUUCUGUUCAUCAUUCAUUCAGGCGCCUGUGAAACCAGACCAGUAAUGCUCUCUUCAAAGAUUUAACACAGCUGAUUGACAUCAAGUCGCUUGAAAUUUUGGCCUCAACUUUCAAUGAUAUUUUGAAUAUGACAAUUUCCGUUUCAGGGAGGAGCAGAAUGCAUUUACACAGUUCCAUUAUGGUUUGUUUGGUUUUUUUUUCAACACACAGAUUCUCUCAUUUCCCCUUCUGUAGCCUUAAGCAUUAAAGUCAACCAUCUGCUUUGGAAAUGCAGCUGAAAUGUAGCUCUUUCUGCUAUUUUGCUUAACUUUUUUUUAGGGGCUGAAAAUAUUCAGUUGUAAUUUGCUUUACAUUCUUUGUAUUAUUUGCCACUGUGGCAUUGGAAAAAUUCACAGGAGUUUCUCCCAUCUUGGAUUUCAAAAUAAUUUAAAAUAUUAUUAUAAAGACGAUUUGGCAGUAUUUAAUUUUUGCUUCCUGUGUAACUUUAUUAAAUCUGUGCUUUAAAACAGGUGUCACCUAGCAGGCUUUCUGUUCAAUGACAGCAGUUGCUUUUCAGCAGGCUGAUUUCCCUGUAGGACUAGCCAAGGAAAGUACCUUAGGAAACUGAGUUUUCCACAUUGUUGCAGUGUAGGAAUGGUAUUCCCUAGCUGAGUGCUCACACUGAUACCCCUCAGAGCACGUGCCCCUCACUGACUUCCCCACCACUUUCCCUGUGGCAGGAUGGAGAGAAGAGCACAAAUGGGUAAAGAUCACGGGUUGAGAUAAGAACAAUUUACUAGAAAGAGCAGUGAAAAAAGAACACAGACGGUCAUAACAACACUAAAAGGAGAGUGUACCAGAGGCGAACGAGUCACACGUGAUCGUUCUCCACACAGAACUUGGCACAGCCCGUGACUUACAGCACACAGGUGGAGGAAGAACAAACCCUUCCAUUUGCCCCUGCCGCGUGGCAGGUGGUAUCCAGUUACCCCAAGGUCCUGGCCGUGCUCCUCCGAGCUGCUGCAAAGAUCACCCUCCUGGCCGGAUCCAGGACACAGGAUCCUUCCUGCGGGUCCUGGCUCUUGCUCUGGGUGACAGACCCCCAUGGCAUCUGCCCCGGCAAAAGGGACUUGAGGACAACCUCUCACUUACUGACAUCAGCCCCUCUGCCCCCGCCCCAGCUCCCUUUUUGCCUCCAGAAAACUUUGAACAGAGGUAGCACUUAAGUACAGUUCUGCACAUCCUGAAGUGGCAGGAAGGUGACCCGCAUGUCGCUCUAGGCACAUGUGCAGCAAGGACAAAGAAAGUGUUUGAGGGGCUGGCUCUCAAGGCAUUCACUCAUGCAAUAGGAGCCCUGUUUCUGAGAGGCACAGCCAAGAGUGGAGCAGUCAGGUGUGGAGAACGGGGGAUCUCCUGAGCCAGGGAGACCCUGGGGGAGCAGAGAGACGCAGACACCGGGCAGACCCCAAGUGGCACCUGCUGCUGGGGCACAGGCACCGCGGGGACACGCACACUUUGGGGUGAGCUUGCUGUGCUUUACUGGAGUAUGCAGUACACAGGCAUUCUAUUUCUCAGAAAUCAUUAAAUAUGUAUAAAUUGCUCGAGUCUGCAGAGUUAGUUUCUGAGGGUCUGCUGGGGAUCUUUAGAGACCCUGGGUGUUCACUGAGCUUUUGGACUUUUGUUGACCUUUCAUUGUGGUCUUCCAUAUAGUAGUCAUUUUCAUCUUGGUUAUCUGAGCUGCAGAAUGUGUUCUUGAGGAAACUGUCUUGCUCUGGCUUGGCUUGGGACAUAGAGGGUUUCAGAGCUUUCAGAGUUCCACUACCCACUCCUUCCUUCUAAGGUAUUUGCAACAAUCCCUCACACAGAUCCUUUUGAGAUUUGUCUUGGAAGUCUCACUUAUAAAACUAAUUUUCUUUUCUAGGACAAUAAUAUUUGUUAUUAUAAAUAUUUACAAAACAUCUCAUGAAAGCUGACAUACAAUGAAUUAUCACACACAAAAAAAUGCAAACAGCAACAAUUCCAGCACUGGUUAGAAAUAGUUCUGUAAGCCUUUAAAGGUCUGGUAGCCAUGAGGAAAGCCAGUCCCACCUAGAGUGGGGACUUCUAGUCUUCUCCCAUUCUUACAUUCCUUUUUCUGAUUGAUGAUAUGCCAGAUUGCUGGAUAUCAAAUCAAUCAGCAUUCUUGUAACAAAUCCAGCAACUUGUAACCUUUACUCAGGGUUCAAGGCAGUAGCUGUCUUUAGCACCACAUCUUUUGUUCCAGGAGCACCACCUGUUACUUUCGAGUUCUGUUCAGGGAUAACCAGUGACCUCCUUUAUGUGCUGAACCAGACAUAACCAUUUGCAGCACAUAAACUGUCACUUUUCUUUCCCAUUUAUUUUCAAAUAUAUUGUAUCAAUCAGGAACAUGGUGGUUCCUGCUCAUUGACCAUGCCUUGAGUACAUUGUUCAGUUAUUUUUUGAGAAAUACGCCCAAAAUACCACAGGCCUCCUUCCUUCAUUCCCAUUCUUUGAGCUAAAUAUGGGGCUACUGUGCAGGGCAAAGGCACUCAUGGAUGAACAGUGCAUUGGGUUCCAUCAAAUCUGGUAUCUCCAGAGUAGGGGUUGUCAUCAAUAACCUUUAAAAGGUAUGGAAAGGCUGUUGGACAUUCCAGAGUCCAGUGUAACAGCCUCCAUGGAUUCCUUUCAUGAUUCAUACAAAGGCUUUUCCAACAGUCCCUAACUGGGGCUCCAUAAUCAACACAAACCAGUCAUUCCCAAAAAGGCACGCAGUUCUUUUACAGAACCAUUGCCAGUUCAGAAAUGCUGCUUUUCCAGAAUGGGAGCAAAACUAAUCGGGAUCAUCUUUGCAGAAACGGCCUCUGGCUUCUGACUUUCUCAAUCCUGUGAUGGGCAAGAAGCAGAGGAUUGACCAAGAGCCCAGUGAUGUCCAGCCAGCAGCUGGUGGCCACUCUCCUUCUUUCUUGGACCUGCCUUCCACAUCCUGUUCAAUUUUGAACAUGUCUACAAAUGUCAGAUCCAUUUCCACUUCCACCCCUGAAGAACAACAGAAAAAUAAGUUUCAGACACAUUCUGGAUUGCCAGUGUCUGCCAGGGUGCAGGGGAAGACUCUCAAGUCCAAGGAGAAGAAGCAGAGGUCAGAGGAGCCCAACAGAACAAUCCAGGUCCUGUGCCUGAGAAGAAGAGGAUGGUGCCUGUGAGACUUGCAGACAUCGACUGGAGCGGCUGCGCUGCUGUUUACGGCCGACCCUACAGGGACAGGGUGAUUCAUCUGCUUGCUCUGAGGGAUUACAAGGAGCCAGAGUUACUUGCUCGGCUGCAGAGAGAUGGAGUCAGGCCAAAGGACAAGGAUUCCCUUGGAAAGAUCCUUCAGCAGGUGAGAUCAUGGAGCUUGUGCCAGCAAUUCGUCCAUUAUGCUGUUUUGCUGUUCCUAAUUUUACUACUUCCUCACUGUUCAAAUUAGAGACUUUUCCAAUACUCCUUCAAGGUAAGUUCCACUGGUAUUUCUUUCUGAUAGGCUUUCAUCAGAGGCACACCCAUGGAAAGAUGCAGUAGCUCCUUCUUUCAUUUUUAAAUAUUCCCCAUGCACCUAAGCUGUUGCUGAAUUAUGCAAGCAUUAUUAUAUUAAAUAGGAUUAUUUCCUCUUUAGCUAAGAAAAAGAGUUUUGGAGCCUAGGCAAAGGAUUCAAAUUCAACGUGGAUACAGUUUCAGUUGUUCACAGGAUGACUUUUAAGAACUCAUUCUCUGAACCUGUGAAGUUUGUUGCUGUGUUUGCCCAGGGCAGUGGCAGAGCUUUUUCACCCUGCAGACAUUCACAACAUGAUGAGAGCCAUGUUCUGCCAUCCCAGCUGAAGUAGCUCCUUUAGAUUUCUGUAGUUUGCAUAUAGGUGUAAUGAAGUUUUGUUUUCCUGAACAUCUGCCUGUAGGUAGCCAACCUGAAUGCAAAGGAGAAUUCCUUCAGUCUGAAAGAACAGCUAUUUCAAACCCUUCAGACUGAUUGGCUGGCUACAGUAAAAUUGAAAGAAAGAGUUUGAAGUUAAUACUUUCUAGGUAAGUUCAGUCUCUUGGGGAAGGAAAAGAGCCUUUUCAGAAAAAAGCCCUGGAAAUAAAGCCUAGAUUCUUACAAUAUGCUGCACCAGCAGAGGCCCACCAGGGUCAUGGAAUCCAACUCCUGGCCCUGCACAGACACCACGAGAAUCACACCCUGUGCCCAAGAGAGUUGUCCAAACUGUUCUUGAGCUCUUGCUGCAGUGACCACUGGCCUGGGGAGCCUGUUGCAGUGCUCGAGCACCCUCAGGGCCAUGAAUGUUUUCAUGAUAUCCUGCCUAAAGCUCCCUCAACUCUGCUUCAUGUUUUUCCCUUGAGUCCUGACACUGAAGGUCUGUUUUCCCUGCAAGGAAAGAACUGUGACAGUUGAUAUUUAGACUUUUUAACAUGAACUCUUGGACCAUCCAUAGAAAAUCAGCUCCAUCUCAGAACCCCACCAGCAGCAGCCAAGCGACAUCUCCAAGGCCUUCUGAGACAGAUGCUCCAGCAAGACCUGCUCAGGUAUUUUGUGCAUUUUUAACAUUCUGCACUGUGUAUUACAUUUUAGCAGACUUGCUGGUGAUGUAAAAGCUGUGAUGGGAAUGUGCAGGACCAGGCCUGGGCAUGUUUUGCCACACACUGCUGUGACCUCAAGCUUGUGAUAAGAAGAGAGGAUCCAGCAGGGGUGGAGCAGCAUUGUCCUGAUCCAACUUUCUACUCUGCCUGGAGACUUGAGCUCAGCCCCCACCCUCAACUCAUUCCCUGGACAAGGGCUCAAAGGGCUGGCUCUGCUUGUGUGACAGAACUGCAUGAAAAAUCUCCUGUGCAUAAGAGGCUGCACCAGGCUGGGGCAGAUGGGGCCCUCUUGCUCUCUUCUCCCUCUGUCUCUCUGUCACUGUCAUUGUUGACCCCAGCUCUGCACUAUCCACAUGGCUGGACAAACACAGCACCUACGGAAUGGUGCUAUUCCCUCACUCUCUCCUCUGCCUUAAUUUCUCUCCUCCCUCCCUCUGCUUGGGCACAGCACGGCUGUCCUGUUCUACUCCAUCCCUGGCCCUGAGGUUUGCUGUGCCUGUGGGGAGCUUGUGGCCGUCUGUUGUGGCUCGUGAGGCAGCACCUUUGAGAAGCUCCUUGGGAGGAGCUGAGAGAUGACUGAAGGGCCCUGAGCAACAGCAAGGGCUCGUUGGUAACCACUUGUGAAACUCUCUUGUACAAGUUUAAAGACUUGUUAGCCAACAGCUUUUGAGUCUGCGGAGUGGGUAAGCCUGCUGGAUUUAAGACAGAUGUACCUAAAUGCACAAGAGUUUCUGGACAUGUGACUGGUGUCUGUGUUCAUCCUGAUGAGAAUUCACAACCAACCAUAAUAUCCUGUACUCAGGGGUUGUAAUAGUGAAGCAUUAAUCUUGUUUUUAAUGCAUAAAACUCUAAAACAGCCAUGUUCCUCUGUAACAAAUUAUGUGGGUGUUUGAUAGCAAAAGCUGAGUCUUUUCCUGGUGUGUGCAAGCAGUAAUUGGGACCUAGUCAAAACUUACCUGGCAUCCCCAUUCUGGGGAGGCUUUGCUGGAGCUGCUGAAGGGAGUGCCUACUUCCCAAAGCCUUUUAGCAGUAGACUUGGAGAAGGACUUGCUAAGUGCUAAGACGAGAAAGUAGGAAUGCAGCAGAGCAGAUAUUUACCUGCAGGUCUUCCAGGUUUGACAGUUAUUUUUAAUUUAAAAUAGUGCAUUUUAAAACUUUGCCAAUUCAUAGAUGCUGCUUUUUUAGAAUGGAGAGCAAAACCUGAUUGUGAUCAUAGAAGAAUGAAUUAUUUUGUUUUUGUUGCAGAAACGGCCUCGAGCUUCUGGCUUUAUCAGUCCUGUGAGGAGCAAGAAACAGAGAACUGAGCAGUAGCCCAGUUACAUCCAGGCAGCAGCUGGUGGCUGCUCUUCUUCCUGGGUGCUGGCUUUGACAUCCCAUUCUACAGGGAUGUCAGAGCCAUCCCCAUGGAAUGGGAUGUCAAAGCCAGCACCCUGCCUCCAAGUCUGGGAUCCAUUCCCCUGCACCCUUUAGGUUCAAAAAAAGACAAAUGUUGGAGUUCUAGAAUGCCAGCACUCAUGUGUAGAGGACUAACAUGUCCAAAAAGAUGUGAAGAGAGCUGGGGAGGCUGAAGCAGUAGUGUCCCUUGGAUUUCAAUGAAGGAUAGCCCCAGCUACUCCAAGAUGAACAGCAGGUGCCAGUGGCUCCACAAAAAGCUGUCCCACAUUCAGCAAUGAAUAUCUGAAUUUGGCAAGCAGCAAGUCCUGGAGUCCUGGCACCAGUCUUCUGCUUCAGCAAAGGAACAUCUAUGAGCUCCAGCUGUUUUAUUUUAAAAGAAAAUUAUGUUUUUAGGUUUCCUCAAGUUAGUAAUAAGGAGAUGAUUAUUUGUUAAAAAUGUAGGAUUAGUUAGUCUAAGAUUAGAGAAUUUAGUCUUGAACUUUAGCAAUAAAAAAGUUGCAUUUCUGUUAA